ACGCUCGACACCUACGGGGGGCAGCAGUGAGGAAUAUUGGUCAAUGGGCGCUAGCCUGAACCAGCCAAGUAGCGUGAAGGAUGAAGGCUCUAUGGGUCGUAAACUUCUUUUAUAUAAGAAUAAAGUGCAGUAUGUAUACUGUUUUGUAUGUAUUAUAUGAAUAAGGAUCGGCUAACUCCGCGCCAGUAGCCGCGGUAAUCUGAGCGGGCUGGCAAGGC
rnacentral:rRNA from 1 species